GAUGAACGCUGGCGGCGUGCCUAAUACAUGCAAGUCGAGCGAACAGACGAGGAGCUUGCUCCUCUGACGUUAGCGGCGGACGGGUGAGUAACACGUGGAUAACCUACCUAUAAGACUGGGAUAACUUCGGGAAACCGGAGCUAAUACCGGAUAAUAUAUUGAACCGCAUGGUUCAAUAGUGAAAGACGGUUUUGCUGUCACUUAUAGAUGGAUCCGCGCCGCAUUAGCUAGUUGGUAAGGUAACGGCUUACCAAGGCAACGAUGCGUAGCCGACCUGAGAGUGUGAUCGGCCACACUGGAACUGAGACACGGUCCAGACUCCUACGGGAGGCAGCAGUAGGGAAUCUUCCGCAAUGGGCGAAAGCUUGACGGAGCAACGCCGCGUGAGUGAUGAAGGUCUUCGGAUCGUAAAACUCUGUUAUUAGGGAAGAACAAAUGUGUAAGUAACUAUGCCCGUCGUGACGGUACCUAAUCAGAAAGCCACGGCUAACUACGUG
rnacentral:rRNA from 1 species